AAUCAACGCUGGCGGCGUGCCUAACACAUGCAAGUCGAACGUGAGAGGGGCUUCGGCCCCGAUUGAGUGGCGAACGGGUGAGUAACGCGUGGGUGACCUACCUUCGAGUGGGGGAUAACGUCCCGAAAGGGACGCUAAUACCGCAUAACAUCCUGCUUUUGAAUGGGUGGAGAUCAAAGCCGGGGAUCGCAAGACCUGGCGCUUGAUGAGGGGCCCGCGUCUGAUUAGCUAGUUGGGAGGUAACGGCCCACCAAGGCAACGAUCAGUAUCCGGCCUGAGAGGGCGGACGGACACACUGGGACUGAGACACGGCCCAGACUCCUACGGGAGGCAGCAGUGGGGAAUUGUUCGCAAUGGGCGCAAGCCUGACGACGCAACGCCGCGUGGAGGAUGAAGGUCUUCGGAUUGUAAACUCCUGUUGCCCGGGACGAAUGGCUCCGACCUAACACGUCGGAGUGUGACGGUACCGGGUGAGGAAG
rnacentral:rRNA from 1 species